CCUUAUCUUCAGUGAGGCACACAACUGUCACCAUUUUUCCCCUGAGCACGUACUCUCUUUAUGGUGACAUUCCUGUCUCUGUUGCCACCUAACUUUUAGCAGUCUCAUUAAUGAAGCUCUGUCAUGAUACUUGUCCUACGUGGAAUUUUAACCAUCUCUCUAUUUUGGCCUUUCCAUCUGACAAGAAUCUCUGUGGCCUAUUCAUUUUUCUUCUCUAGUUCCUACACUUGGUGACAUCAGUUAGUAUUUGACGAAUGAAUGAAUUUGUAAAAGAAUGGACAGAAGCCUUUGGAACAAGCUCUUAUCAAAAGAACAUUAUUCUAGAGGGAAGCACUUUAAGACAGAAGGUAAACAAGAGCUCCAGGAAGUCUCUGAAACUGACCAGAUUCACCAGCCCCCCCACCCACUCAAAGAAAGCAUGAAAGCCUACAGAGAGUCACUUUCGGAUAUCGCAAGCUGCAAAGAAAACUCUGACAAGCCCAGCUGCUGGAAAGAAGCCAAGAUGAUAGCACUACCUGGAAGAGGCUUAGCUCAACUGAUCCCACUUGGAAGGAACAAGCUUCAACCUGUUCAGAUAUGCUUCACUGGACAGUCCACUGGAUGAGCGCUCACACAUCAGAGUCUCAGAUGGAAGCCAGAUGUGAGGCAAGAGUCCUUAAGAAUCAUGGGAGCUUUUAAGGCAUCUUCAGAAAUAGCAGGGGUGUAACUUACUGCCAUAAUAAUACAAUAUGUAAUUAUA
rnacentral:lncRNA from 1 species